UACAGAGGGGGCAAGCGUUGUUCGGAAUUACUGGGCGUAAAGGGCGCGUCGGCGGCCUUCUAAGUCGAACGUGAAAUCCCUGGGCUCAACCCAGGAACUGCGUCCGAUACUGGAAGGCUUGAAUCCGGGAGAGGGAUGCGGAAUUCCAGGUGUAGCGGUGAAAUGCGUAGAUAUCUGGAGGAACACCGGUGGCGAAGGCGGCAUCCUGGACCGGCAUUGACGCUGAGGCGCGAAAGCCAGGGGAGCAAACGGG
rnacentral:rRNA from 1 species